UACGGAGGGUGCAAGCGUUAGUCGGAAUUAUUGGGCGUAAAGGGUGCGUAGGUGGGAAUAUAAGUCAUGUGUGAAAUUCCGGGGCUUAACCUCGGAGCUGCAAAUGAAACUAUAUUUCUUGUCGGAUGGCGGAGAAAAUGGAAUUCCACGUGUAGCGGUGAAAUGCGUAGAUAUGUGGAAGAACACCUGUGGCGAAAGCGGUUUUCUAGCCUGCCCGAGACACUGAGGCACGAAAGUUAGGGGAGCAAACAGG
rnacentral:rRNA from 1 species